rnacentral:rRNA from 1 species
GACGAACGCUGGCGGCGUGCCUAACACAUGCAAGUCGAACGGAAAGGCCCUGCUAUCGUGGGGUGCCCGAGUGGCGAACGGGGGAGUAACACGUGAGUAACCUGCCCUUCACUUUGGGGUAACUUCAGGAAACUGGGGCUAAUACCGGAUAGGAGACCCUGCUGCAUGGUGGGGGUUGGAAAGUCUCGGCGGUUGGGGAUGGACUCGCGGCUUAUCAGCUUGUUGGUGGGGUAGUGGCUUACCAAGGCUUUGACGGGUAGCCGGCCUGAGAGGGUGACCGGCCACAUUGGGACUGAGAUACGGCCCAGACUCCUACGGGGGGCAGCAGUGGGGAAUAUUGCACAAUGGGCGGAAGCCUGAUGCAGCAACGCCGCGUGCGGGAUGACGGCCUUCGGGUUGUAAACCGCUUUCGCCUGUGACGAAGCGUGAGUGACGGUAAUGGGUAAAGAAGCACCGGCUAACUACGUG